rnacentral:rRNA from 1 species
GACGAACGCUGGCGGCGUGCUUAACACAUGCAAGUCGAACGGAAAGGCCCUGCUUUUGUGGGGUGCUCGAGUGGCGAACGGGUGAGUAACACGUGAGUAACCUGCCCUUGACUUUGGGAUAACUUCAGGAAACUGGGGCUAAUACCGGAUAGGAGCUCCUGCUGCAUGGUGGGGGUUGGAAAGUUUCGGCGGUUGGGGAUGGACUCGCGGCUUAUCAGCUUGUUGGUGGGGUAGUGGCUUACCAAGGCUUUGACGGGUAGCCGGCCUGAGAGGGUGACCGGCCACAUUGGGACUGAGAGACGGCCCAGACUCCUACGGGAGGCAGCAGUGGGGAAUAUUGCACAAUGGGCGGAAGCCUGAUGCAGCAACGCCGCGCGCGGGAUGACGGCCUUCGGGUUGUAAACCGCUUUCGCCUGUGACGAAGCGUGAGUGACGGUAAUGGGUAAAGAAGCACCGGCUAACUACGUG